rnacentral:lncRNA from 1 species
GAAAGAUUGUACUUAUAUUGUGGAGAACCUAAGCACAAUGCUCAACAUUGCCCACAGAAGUGACGCAAUUAUAAAAUGAGGAGUAUGGCGAUCAAAGAAGAUAGCAUGUCAGAAAACAAACUUGUCCUGCUACAAUAGGGACUGUGCGGGUAGAACCUUGUACAACGCCUAGUGAAGGUCCUAUCCUUUCUUCAGAACCCUC